rnacentral:sRNA from 1 species
UUUUUUUGGUUUGUUGUU